GACGAACGCUGGCGGCGUGCUUAACACAUGCAAGUCGAGCGGUAAGGCCCUUUCGGGGGUACACGAGCGGCGAACGGGUGAGUAACACGUGGGUAACCUACCCUAGAGUGGGGAAUAACUAGCCGAAAGGUUAGCUAAUACCGCGUACGCUCCUUGGACUUCGGUUCAGGGAGGAAAGCGAUGCCGAGGGUAUCGCGCUCUUGGAUGGGCUCAUGUCCUAUCAGCUUGUUGGUGAGGUAACGGCUCACCAAGGCUUCGACGGGUAGCUGGUCUGAGAGGACGAUCAGCCACACUGGCACUGCGACACGGGCCAGACUCCUACGGGAGGCAGCAGUAAGGAAUAUUGCGCAAUGGGCAAAGCCUGACGCAGCGACGCCGCGUGGGGAUGAAGGUCUU
rnacentral:rRNA from 1 species